rnacentral:rRNA from 1 species
GAAUCUUGCACAAUGGAGGAAACUCUGAUGCAGCGAUGCCGCGUGAGUGAAGAAGGCCUUUGGGUUGUAAAGCUCUUUUGUAGGGGAAGAUAAUGACUGUACCCUAAGAAUAAGGUCCGGCUAACUUCGUGCCAGCAGCCGCGGUAAUACGAAGGGACCUAGCGUAGUUCGGAAUUACUGGGCGUAAAGCGCGCGUAGGCCGUUGAGUUAGUUAAUUGUGAAAUCCCAAAGCUUAACUUUGGAACUGCAAUUAAAACUGCUCGACUAGAGUUUGAUAGAGGAAAGCGGAAUACAUAGUGUAGAGGUGAAAUUCGUAGAUAUUAUGUAGAACACCAGUUGCGAAGGCGGCUUUCUGGAUCAACACUGACGCUGAGGCGCGAAAGUAUGGGUAGCAAAGAGGAUUAGAUACCC